AUUCAUCGUCAGCGGCACUGGCCUCGCGGUGGCUCGUGAUGUCGCGCUUCCGACGGGCUUCGGCUCGUCGGCGCGCGGCACGCGGUCGCCGCGUUUCCCGGUGUCGUCGGCGUGCACUUCUCCCCUUGUAGAACGUCGCGACCCGUUGGGCGCCGAUCUACGGUCCGGGCGGGCGUCCGUCGCGUCGCUUCGCGCGCACGCGGCGAACCCCCGGUUCUCGCCUGUCGUCGGCUGCCCGGCGGUACUCCGAUGGUAUCGGGCCGCAAUCUCGAACUGCGUCAGGCCCGCCGCAAGCGCGGUCAGUGAACCACAGCGCGGAGGUUACGGAAGUAAGCGCCGUCCCCGCGCCUGGCCAGCUGUUGGCGAAUUAAAAUGCGGUGUCCUCUGACAGGCCAAAAAUGCGUAGUCGCUCUCUCGCGGGAGCGCUGCGCGCGAUACCGGUCGGCGACGCUACUGCUUUGGGUAAUCUCAGGACCCGUCUUGAAACACGGACCAAGGAGUCUAACAUGUGCGCGAGUCAUUGGGACCGAUUAAGUACCGAUGCCUAAAGGCGAAAUGAAAGUGAAGGUCGUCCUCGAAAAACGACCGAGGGAGGAUGGGCCGCGUCUCGAUGCGGCUCCGCACUCCCGGGGC
rnacentral:rRNA from 1 species